rnacentral:rRNA from 1 species
GAUGAACGCUGGCGGCGUGCCUAAUACAUGCAAGUCGAGCGAACAGACGAGGAGCUUGCUCCUCUGACGUUAGCGGCGGACGGGUGAGUAACACGUGGAUAACCUACCUAUAAGACUGGGAUAACUUCGGGAAACCGGAGCUAAUACCGGAUAAUAUAUUGAACCGCAUGGUUCAAUAGUGAAAGACGGUUUUGCUGUCACUUUUAGAUGGAUCCGCGCCGCAUUAGCUAGUUGGUAAGGUAACGGCUUACCAAGGCAACGAUGCGUAGCCGACCUGAGAGGGUGAUCGGCCACACUGGAACUGAGACACGGUCCAGACUCCUACGGGAGGCAGCAGUAGGGAAUCUUCCGCAAUGGGCGAAAGCCUGACGGAGCAACGCCGCGUGAGUGAUGAAGGUCUUCGGAUCGUAAAACUCUGUCAUUAGGGAAGAACAAAUGUGUAAGUAACUAUGCACGUCUUGACGGUACCUAAUCAGAAAGCCACGGCUAACUACGUG